CCCUUAGAUGUUCUGGGCUGCACGCGCGCUACACUGAAGCUAUCAACACGUUUUCCCUCCCUGAGAAGGGCGGGUGACCUUUUGAAUCAGCUUCGUGGUAGGGAUCGGGGCUUGCAAUUGUUCCCCGUGAACCAGGAAUUCCUAGUAGACGCGAGUCAUAAGCUCGCAUCGAUUAAGUCCCUGCCCUUUGUACACACCGCCCGUCGCUACUACCGAUUGAACGUUUUAGUGAGGCAUUUGGACCGACGCAUCUCAGUUUAACCGCUGGUUUGUGUUGGAAAGACUUCCAAACUUGAGCGUUUAGAGGAAGUAAAAGUCGUAACA
rnacentral:rRNA from 1 species